rnacentral:rRNA from 1 species
UGCCAGCCGCCGCGGUAAUACGGAGGGUCCAAGCGUUAUUCGGAAUCACUGGGCUUAAAAGGUGCGUAGGCGGCUUUAUAAGUCAGGUGUGAAAUCCCACGGCUCAACCGUGGAACUGCGCUUGAAACUAUUUAGCUUGAGUAUCUCAGGGGUGAGCGGAACUUCCAGUGGAGCGGUGAAAUGUGUUGAUAUUGGAAGGAACACCGGUAGCGAAAGCGGCUCACUGGGGGAUGACUGACGCUGAGGCACGAAAGCUAGGGGAGCGAACAGGAUUAGAUA